rnacentral:rRNA from 1 species
CCUACGGGAGGCUGCAGUGAGGAAUAUUGGUCAAUGGACGAGAGUCUGAACCAGCCAAGUAGCGUGAAGGAUGACUGCCCUAUGGGUUGUAAACUUCUUUUAUAAGGGAAUAAAACAAGGCAUGUGUGCCUUUUUGUAUGUACUUUAUGAAUAAGGAUCGGCUAACUCCGUGCCAGCAGCCGCGGUAAUACGGAGGAUCCGAGCGUUAUCCGGAUUUAUUGGGUUUAAAGGGAGCGUAGAUGGGUUGUUAAGUCAGUUGUGAAAGUUUGCGGCUCAACCGUAAAAUUGCAAUUGAUACUGGCAGUCUUGAGUACAGUUGAGGUAGGCGGAAUUCGUGGUGUAGCGGUGAAAUGCUUAGAUAUCACGAAGAACCCCGAUUGCGAAGGCAGCUUACUAAACUGCGACUGACACUGAUGCUCGAAAGUGUGGGUAUCAAACAGGAUUAGAUACCCCUGUAGUC